UACAACAGAAGUAAAAUGUUGCUUUGUACCUGGUGUCUUUUAUUAAGAAUUUACUCCCCCCAUUUCUCACAGAGAAUAACAGUCAGGAGUCAUUGUCACAAUAUAAUAGAAAUGUUAGCAACCAGAUUCAUGUAAGGACUAAGUGGUCCUCAUGAAUUGCAUUAAGACUGUAUUGCUCAUAUUACACUCCAUCCUCUCUGUAGUUUGCUGGGUAGCGGAGGGGGUAAGCUAAAUCAUAGUUUCUGACAAUAACUGGGAAGGCUUUUUCUUAAGUAACAAUGGAAUUGGUUUAAUUGGGAUUGAAAACUAAAACUUGGAACUAAGAUAGAGAAGAUGUAGUGUGUGUAGAAGGGCUGUUAAAAAUGUAAAACUUGGUUGCAUUAUUUGUGGAGGCUCAAACUUGUGAAGGCUAAAUACCAUAAUUUUUCCAUUUGUUCUGCAUUUUGAUUCUGAAAAGAAAGCUGGCUUUGCCCAUUUCUUACUAAAAAAACUUGUAAAUCCAAAAAA
rnacentral:lncRNA from 1 species